rnacentral:rRNA from 1 species
GAGUUUGAUCCUGGCUCAGGACGAACGCUGGCGGCGUGCCUAAUACAUGCAAGUCGAGCGAGCAGAACUAACAGAUCUACUUCGGUAGUGACGUUUCGGAAGCGAGCGGCGGAUGGGUGAGUAACACGUGGGUAACCUGCCCUUAAGUCUGGGAUACCACUUGGAAACAGGUGCUAAUACCGGAUAACAACAAGUGCUGCAUGGCAUUUGCUUGAAAGGCGGCGUAAGCUGUCGCUAAAGGAUGGACCCGCGGUGCAUUAGCUAGUUGGUAAGGUAACGGCUUACCAAGGCAACGAUGCAUAGCCGAGUUGAGAGACUGAUCGGCCACAUUGGGACUGAGACACGGCCCAAACUCCUACGGGAGGCAGCAGUAGGGAAUCUUCCACAAUGGGCGAAAGCCUGAUGGAGCAACGCCGCGUGAGUGAAGAAGGUUUUCGGAUCGUAAAGCUCUGUUGUUGGUGAAGAAGGAUAGAGGUAGUAACUGGCCUUUAUUUGACGGUAAUCAACCAGAAAGUCACGGCUAACUACGUGCCAGCAGCCGCGGUAAUACGUAGGUGGCAAGCGUUGUCCGGAUUUAUUGGGCGUAAAGCGAGCGCAGGCGGAGAAAUAAGUCUGAUGUGAAAGCCCUUGGCUUAACCGGGGAAUUGCAUCGGAAACUGUUUUUCUUGAGUGCAGAAGAGGAGAGUGGAACUCCAUGUGUAGCGGUGGAAUGCGUAGAUAUAUGGAAGAAACACCAGUGGCGAAGGCGGCUCUCUGGUCUGCAACUGACGCUGAGGCUCGAAAGCAUGGGUAGCGAACAGGAUUAGAUACCCUGGUAGUCCAUGCCGUAAACGAUGAGUGCUAAGUAUUGGGAGGUUUCCGCCUCUCAGUGCUGCAGCUAACGCAUUAAGCACUCCGCCUGGGG